UACGGAGGGUGCAAGCGUUAUCCGGGUUCACUGGGUUUAAAGGGUGCGUAGGCGGGCAGGCAAGUCAGAGGUGAAAGCCCACGGCUCAACCGUGGAAGUGCCCCUGAUACUGCUUGUCUGGAGGGAGGUAGGGGCGUGCGGAACUUCCGGUGGAGCGGUGAAAUGCGUAGAUAUCGGAAGGAACACCGGUGGCGAAAGCGGCGCGCUGGACCUCUUCUGACGCUGAGGCGCGAAAGCUAGGGGAGCAAACGGG
rnacentral:rRNA from 1 species